rnacentral:rRNA from 1 species
UACGUAGGGGGCAAGCGUUGUCCGGAAUCAUUGGGCGUAAAGCGCGCGUAGGCGGCUCGAUCAGUCUGCUGUAAAAGUCAAAGGCUCAACCUUUGAAUACCGGUGGAUACUGUCGGGCUAGAGUCCGGAAGAGGCGAGUGGAAUUCCUGGUGUAGCGGUGGAAUGCGCAGAUAUCAGGAGGAACACCAACGGCGAAGGCAGCUCGCUGGGACGGUACUGACGCUAAGGCGCGAAAGCGUGGGGAGCGAACAGG